GAUGAACGCUGGCGGCGUGCUUAAUACAUGCAAGUCGAGCGAACGGACGCGAAGUUUGUUUCUUUGUUGUUAGCGGCGGAAGGGUGUGUAACAUGUGGAUACUCUCCUUAUCUGUCUGGGAUAUCUUCGGGACACCGGAGAUAAUACGGGAUAAUAUUUUGAACCGUAUGGUUGAAUAGUAAAAGACGGUCUUGCUGUCACUUAUAGAUGGAUCCGCGCUGCAUUAGCUAGUUGGUAAGGUAACGGCUUACCAAGGCAACGAUGCAUGGCCGACCUGAGAGGGGGAUCGGCCGCACUAGAGCUGGAACACGGUCCAGGCUCCUACGAGAAGCACCAGUAUGGAAUCUUCCGCAGUAGUCGAAAGCCUGACAGAGCGGCGCCACGUGUGUUGUGAAAGUCUUCGGAUCGUGAAGCUCUGUUAUUAGUGGAAAACAUAUUUGUAAGUAACUGUACACAUCGUGACGGUACCUAGUCAAAAAGCCACGGCUAACUACGUG
rnacentral:rRNA from 1 species